rnacentral:rRNA from 1 species
GGUCCGGCCGGGCCUUUCCCUCUGUGGAACCCCAUGCCCUUCACUGGGUGUGGCGGGGAAACAGGACUUUUACUGUGAAAAAAUUAGAGUGCUCCAGGCAGGCCUAUGCUCGAAUACAUUAGCAUGGAAUAAUAGAAUAGGACGUGUGGUUCUAUUUUGUUGGUUUCUAGGACCGCCGUAAUGAUUAAUAGGGACAGUCGGGGGCAUCAGUAUUCAAUUGUCAGAGGUGAAAUUCUUGGAUUUAUUGAAGACUAACUACUGCGAAAGCAUUUGCCAAGGAUGUUUUCAUUAAUCAGGAACGAAAGUUAGGGGAUCGAAGACGAUCAGAUACCGUCGUAGUCUUAACCAUAAACUAUGCCGACUAGGGAUCGGACGAUGUUAUUUUUUGACUCGUUCGGCACCUUACGAGAAAUCAAAGUGCUUGGGCUCCAGGGGGAGUAUGGUCGCAAGGCUGAAACUUAAAGAAAUUGACGGAAGGGCACCACCAGGGGUGGAGCCUGCGGCUUAAUU